rnacentral:lncRNA from 1 species
UGUUUGGAAAUGUAAGGAAUUUAGACAAUGUUAUAAGGCAAACUUUGUAAAAGUAAAUAUAAAGUGAUAGUUAAAUUAACAAAGGAAUGAAAGUAGAUUUGCAAAGAAGAUAAAAUGAAAUAAAAGACUUUGGAUUUGAAAAGAAGUGGUGUUUUAGAAAUCAUAUAUUUUGCUCAGCGAAACUCGUGUCUUGAUAUGCUAGGUACUUUGAGUUUUUUUUAUUUUUGUAGUGAAUUCAAAACAACACUCUG